AGGAUCUAUUGCUGAGGCAUAUAUGGCAAGUGUCACCUUGACUUUUUGUUCUAGGUACAUGGAGGAUAUUGAGACUAGAUUUAACCAGGAUGAUGGCAGUGGUGGAGAAAUGCCAUUGCCUGAUGACAUAUCUAUUUUUAAGAAUGGUGUUACUCUUGUUGGAUCUAAUAGGAUCCAAUACAUUGAUAAUGCUGUCCUCAAUAAGUUAGUUUGGUAUGUUCUAAAUAAUUGUGAUGAAGUUGAGGAAUAUGUGGACUUGUACAGGGAAGAGCUACUGCUGCAAGGUGCGCAUGAUGUUAAUAGAAUUGUUUAACAAGGAUUUGCAAAGUGGUUUCAGUGUCAUAUUGAGAACAAACGCAAGGAGAAUCCAGAAUCGAUUAGCGAAGGACUAUGGGCACUGUCAUGUGGCCCAGAUCUACGAGUGAAGACUUGUGCAGCUUGCAAGGUUAAUGGAGUGCGUUAUAUCACUGUGGAUCGUGAGAAGUACCUAAUGACACAAAAUAGCGGUGUAAUGACUGAAGGUUCACAUAAUGGGAGCGACAUAGAUUUUUAUGGUGUCCUUAAAGAGGUAACUGAGUUCGAAUAUAACUCAAAUUUUCAAGUCCGUCGGACAGUGGUUCUGUUUCGAUGCGAUUGGUUCAACCAAGACGGCAAGUCUAGAGGAGCUCGA